AAUAGAUACCCUGGUAGUCCAUGCCGUAAACGUUGGGCGCUAGAUGUGGGGACCAUUCCACGGUUUCCGUGUCGCAGCUAACGCAUUAAGCGCCCCGCCUGGGGAGUACAGCCGCAAGGCUAAAACUCAAAGGAAUUGACGGGGGCCCGCACAAGCGGCGGAGCAUGCGGAUUAAUUCGAUGCAACGCGAAGAACCUUACCAAGGCUUGACAUAUACGAGAACGCUCUAGAAAUAGAGAACUCUUUGGACACUCGUAUACAGGUGGUGCAUGGUUGUCGUCAGCUCGUGUCGUGAGAUGUUGGGUUAAGUCCCGCAACGAGCGCAACCCUCGUUCUAUGUUGCCAGCGGUUCGGCCGGGAACUCAUAGGAGACUGCCGGGGUCAACUCGGAGGAAGGUGGGGAUGACGUCAAAUCAUCAUGCCUCUUAUGUCUUGGGCUUCACGCAUGCUACAAUGGCCGGUACAAAGGGCUGCAAUACCGUAAGGUGGAGCGAAUCCCAAAAAGCCGGUCUCAGUUCGGA
rnacentral:rRNA from 1 species